UGAGAUGUGUAGCAUAAGAAAAUCCAUGGGC
rnacentral:piRNA from 1 species